rnacentral:rRNA from 1 species
ACGAACGCUGGCGGCAUGCCUAACACAUGCACGUCGAACGAGACCUUCGGGUCUAGUGGCGCACGGGUGCGUAACGCGUGGGAAUCUGCCCUUGGGUUCGGAAUAACAGUUGGAAACGACUGCUAAUACCGGAUGAUGACGUAAGUCCAAAGAUUUAUCGCCCAAGGAUGAGCCCGCGUAGGAUUAGCUAGUUGGUGAGGUAAAGGCUCACCAAGGCGACGAUCCUUAGCUGGUCUGAGAGGAUGAUCAGCCACACUGGGACUGAGACACGGCCCAGACUCCUACGGGAGGCAGCAGUGGGGAAUAUUGGACAAUGGGCGAAAGCCUGAUCCAGCAAUGCCGCGUGAGUGAUGAAGGCCUUAGGGUUGUAAAGCUCUUUUACCCGGGAUGAUAAUGACAGUACCGGGAGAAUAAGCUCCGGCUAACUCCGUG